GGGCAAAAUAAAAUAAUAUUUUAUUUUGAAAUUAUUUUUUAAUCACAAAAUCUACACAAGUGAAGCCUCGGGCAUCAGCUAGGCAGUAUAGAAUUAAUAUACACCUUCGAGAACAUUAAAUUAUGUUUGAGAUUCGUAUAAAGAAGUUACCUUGGGUCAUAUGUCGUCAUUCGUAGGUAUAUUUUGUGAAGAUGAAGGUGUAUGUUAUGUUGUUUGUCGUGGUGUCCGCGUUGGUCUUGUGUAUUGCCGACGCCAGAAACUUUACCAAGCUAGUGAAGUGCCCAGCAGGACACAUACGGGUCGGUGACCGGUGCUUCACCAAAGGAAUGCUGUAAUCCGAGCUGAUGUAAUAUCAUGUACCUUCAAUAAUAAAGAUGAACCGUGAACUCAAUGUGUGUUGCUAACCAAAACAUCACAAAUUCAAUAUGUUGAUUAUUCAUAAAGAACCAAUAAAAUCUUAAUCAUGAUA